AGAUUGAACGCUGGCGGCAUGCCUUACACAUGCAAGUCGAACGGCAGCACGGGAGCAAUCCUGGUGGCGAGUGGCGAACGGGUGAGUAAUACAUCGGAACGUGCCCAAUCGUGGGGGAUAACGCAGCGAAAGCUGUGCUAAUACCGCAUAAGAUCUACGGAUGAAAGCAGGGGAUCGCAAGACCUUGCGCGAAUGGAGCGGCCGAUGGCAGAUUAGGUAGUGGUGAGGUAAAGGCUCACCAAGCCUUCGAUCUGUAGCUGGUCUGAGAGGACACCAGGCCACACUGGGACUGAGACACGGCCAGACUCGACGGAGGCAGCAGGUACGGGAAUUUGGACAAGUCGGGCGAAAGCCUAGACUCCGAGUCCAGUUCGACCGUCGU
rnacentral:rRNA from 1 species